AAUAAAAAAAUUAUUUAUUUAUAGAUUUAAAAAUUUAAUAAAAAUAAUUUUAUUAAUAAUUAUUUUUAGUAUAUAUUAUAGAAAAAAUUUUAAAAAUUAUAGUUAAUUAGUAUUGUAAAAGAAUUUUGAUUUAAAAAUUUAUUAAAUAAAAGUAAAAUUUAAUUUUUGUACCUUGUGUAUCAGGGUUUAUUAAAUAAAUUUUAUAAAUUUAAAUUUUCCCGAAUUUAAGAGAGAGAAUAAAUAAUUUUUUUUAUUGUAAAAAAAAUAUUUAUAAUUAUUUAUUAGAAAUGAAAAGUUAUUCGUUCUUAAAUAUAUCUGGUUUAUUUAGAAAUGAAUUUAAUUCAGUUAAUUUAAUUUUAUUAAUUUAUUUUUUUAAAUUAAUAAAUUUUAUUAAUAAUAAUUAAAGGGAUUAGCUUUUAAUUAAAUUAUUAUAAUAAAUUUGUUAAAAAUAAAAAUAUAUAGGUUUAGAAAUAUUUUUUAUUAAUAAUUUGUUAUAAUUAGUUUUUAUUUUUAUAUUAUUUUAUAUUUAUUUAAUUUUUUAUAAAUAAAUUUUAUUUAAUAUUAUAAUAUUAGAUAUAAUGAUAGAAUUAGUAUAUUUUAAAAUAUUUAUAUAAAUUUAAUAUAAAGUUUAUUUAAAGGAAUUCGGCAAAAUUUUUAUUCGCCUGUUUAACAAAAACAUGUCCUUUAGAAAUUAGAAUUUAAGGUCUGACCUGCCCACUGAAAUUUUUAAAUGGCCGCAGUAAUUUGACUGUGCAAAGGUAGCAUAAUCAUUAGUUUUUUAAUUAAAAGCUUGUAUGAAUGGUUGGACGAAAUAAAAUCUGUCUCUAAAUAAUAAUUAGAAUUUAAUUUUUAAGUUAAAAAGCUUAAAUUUUUAUAAAAGACGAGAAGACCCUAUAGAUCUUUAUAAUAAAUUUUAUAAUUUUAUUUAGGAUUAUUUAAUUAUUUAUAAAUUUUAUUAUUUUAUUGGGGUAAUAAAAAGAUUAAUAAAAUUCUUUUUAAAAUUAAACAAAAAUUAUUGAUUUUAUGAUCCAUUAUUAUUGAUUAUAAGAUUAAGUUACCUUAGGGAUAACAGCGUAAUUUUUUUAGAGAGUUCAUAUCGAUAAAAAAGUUUGCGACCUCGAUGUUGGAUUAAAAAUUAUUUCGGGUGUAGAAGUUCGAAAUUUUGGUCUGUUCGACCAUUAAAUUUUUACAUGAUCUGAGUUCAGACCGGCGUAAGCCAGGUCGGUUUCUAUCUUUAUAMARUUAAUAUAUUUUAGUACGAAAGGACCAAAUAUAUAAUAUAUUAAUAUUUUAUUUUUGAAUAAUAUU
rnacentral:rRNA from 1 species